rfam:Fibulorhizoctonia sp. CBS 109695 unplaced genomic scaffold FIBSPscaffold_25, whole genome shotgun sequence.
GGCAAGAUGGCCGAGCGGUCUAAGGCGCCAGACUAAGGAGACCAAGUCAUUUGAUGACUUAUUACAGCUUUGUAGCUAGUACAUCUGGUCCGAAAGGGCGUGGGUUCGAAUCCCACUCUCGUCA